GUGCUCGCUUUGGCAACACGUAUACUAAAAGUGGAACAAUCCAGAGGAGAUUAGCAUGGCCCCUGUGCUGACACUGGGGCUGAUAAGGUGGCUCAGAAGAUA